GUGGAUUAGAUACCCUGGUAAUCCUAGCCGUAAACGAUGGACACUAGGUGUUGGCGGUAUCAACCCCGCCAGUGCCGAAGCUAACGCAUUAAGUGUCCCGCCUGGGGAGUACGGCCGCAAGGCUAAAACUCAAAGGAAUUGACGGGGGCCCGCACAAGCAGCGGAGCGUGGGGUUUAAUUCGACGCGACGCGAAGAACCUUACCAGGACUUGACAUGGCCAGGAUCGGGGCGGAAACGUCCCUUCCCCGCAAGGGGCCUGGUCACAGGUGUUGCACGGCCGUCGACAGCU
rnacentral:rRNA from 1 species